CAGAUUUAACGCUGGCGGCAGGCUUAACACAUGCAAGUCGAGCGGAGAGAGGUAGCUUGCUACUGAUCUUAGCGGCGGACGGGUGAGUAAUACUUAGGAAUCUGGCUAUUAGUGGGGGACAACAUUUCGAAAGGGAUGCUAAUACCGCAUACGUCCUACGGGAGAAAGCAGGGGAUCUUCGGACCUUGCGCUAAUAGAUGAGCCUAAGUCGGAUUAGCUAGUUGGUGGGGUAAAGGCCUACCAAGGCGACGAUCUGUAGCGGGUCUGAGAGGAUGAUCCGCCACACUGGGACUGAGACACGGCCCAGACUCCUACGGGAGGCAGCAGUGGGGAAUAUUGGACAAUGGGGGGAACCCUGAUCCAGCCAUGCCGCGUGUGUGAAGAAGGCCUUAUGGUUGUAAAGCACUUUAAGCGAGGAGGAGGGUACUGGUAUUAAUACUACCAGGUACUGGACGUUACUCGCAGAAUAAGCACCGGCUAACUCUGUGCCAGCAGCCGCGGUAAUACAGAGGGUGCGAGCGUUAAUCGGAUUUACUGGGCGUAAAGCGUGCGUAGGCGGCUAAUUGAGUCGGAUGUGAAAUCCCCGAGCUUAACUUGGGAAUUGCAUUCGAUACUGGUUAGCUAGAGUGUGGGAGAGGAUGGUAGAAUUCCAGGUGUAGCGGUGAAAUGCGUAGAGAUCUGGAGGAAUACCGAUGGCGAAGGCAGCCAUCUGGCCUAACACUGACGCUGAGGUACGAAAGCAUGGGGAGCAAACAGGAUUAGAUACCCUGGUAGUCCAUGCCGUAAACGAUGUGUACUAGCCGUUGGUCUCUUUGAGGGAUUAGUGGCGCAGCUAACGCUAUAAGUAGA
rnacentral:rRNA from 1 species